rnacentral:rRNA from 1 species
GAAUGAACGUUGGCGGCGUGGAUUAGGCAUGCAAGUCGAGCGCUCAUAGCAAUAUGGGAGCGGCGAACGGCGUAGGAAUUCAUAGGAACGUACCCUCAGGACGGGGAUAGCUACGGGAAACUGUAGGUAAUACCCGAUGAUCUCCGCGGAGCAAAGGUGUGAUUCCGCCUGAGGAGCGGCUUAUGCGAUAUUAGCUAGUUGGUGGGGUAAUGGCCUACCAAGGCAAAGAUGUCUAGGGGGUGUGAGAGCAUGGCCCCCACGACCGGAACUGAGAUACUGUCCGGACACCUACGGGUGGCUGCAGUCGAGAAUCUUCCGCAAUGGACGAAAGUCUGACGGAGCGACGCCGCGUGCGGGAUGAAGGCCCUUGGGUUGUAAACCGCUUUCGGAGGGGAUGAAAUCCUCGAGGGUUCUCCCUCGAGGUUGACAGAGCCUCAAAAGAAGCACGGGCUAAGUACGUGCCAGCAGCCGCGGUAACACGUACUGUGCGAACGUUAUUCGGAAUCACUGGGCUUAAAGGGUGCGUAGGCGGCGAUUCAAGUCAGAUGUGAAAUGCCUGAGCUCAACUGAGGCAUUGCGUUUGAAACUGAAUUGCUAGAGUAUUUCAGGGGUGUGCGGAACUGCCAGUGGAGCGGUGAAAUGUGUUGAUAUUGGCAGGAACACCGGAGGCGAAAGCGGCACACUGGGGAAUAACUGACGCUGAGGCACGAAAGCCAGGGGAGCGAACGGGAUUAGAUACCCUGGUAGUCCACACUGUAAACGAUGAUAACUCACUGCCGGCGAUACACAGUCGGUGGCCAAGCGAAAGCGAUAAGUUAUCCACCUGGGGAGUACGACCGCAAGGUUGAAACUCAAAGGAAUUGACGGGGGCCCGCACAAGCGGAGGAACAUGUGGUUUAAUUCGAUGAUACGCGAGGAACCUUACCCGGGCUCGAACGGUGCAUGAAUAAGCAAGAGAUUGUUUAGUCCUUCGGGACAUGUAUCGAGGUGCUGCAUGGUUGUCGUCAGCUCGUGCCGUGAGGUGUCGGCUUAAGUGCCAUAACGAGCGCAACCCUUGUUGUUAGUUACCAACAGGUAAAGCUGGGGACUCUAACGAGACUGCCACCGUAAGGUGUGAGGAAGGGGGGGAUGACGUCAAAUCAGCACGGCCCUUAUGUCCGGGGCGACACACGUGUUACAAUGGGGGGUACAGAGGGCAGCCAUCCGGUGACGGAGCGCCAAUCUCCAAAACCCUUCUCAGUUCGGAUUGGAGUCUGCAACCCGACUCCAUGAAGUUGGAUUCGCUAGUAAUCGCGCAUCAGCCAUGGCGCGGUGAAUACGUUCCCGGGCCU